rnacentral:rRNA from 1 species
GCAAGAUACCACGGGCGCACGGCGGAUGCCUUGGCACAGGGAGCCGAUGAAGGACGCGGCAAGCUGCGAUAAUCCCCGGCGAGGAGCACACAUCCUUCGACCCGGGGGUCUCCGAAUGGGCGAACCCAUCCGUAGCAGUACGGAUAUCCCGGCCCUGAACGCAUAGGGGCCGGGAGGACAACCCGGGGAACUGAAACAUCUAAGUACCCGGAGGAGAGGAAAUCAAUCUCGAGACUCCCCGAGUAGCGGCGAGCGAAAGGGGACCGAUGGCCAAACCGUCGAGCGGGCAUACCCGGCAGGGGUUCCGCCGACGGGGUUGCAGGGCCGCGCAUCCGGGGGCUGCCGCCCCCGGGCGCAGGUCCGGCUGGGGAGCGGAACGGCAUGGGAGGGCCGGCCGCAGCGGGUGACAGCCCCGUACGCGAACCCAGACCGGACGGCGCGACGCGGUCCCUGAGUAGGGCCGGGCACGUGAAACCCGGUCCGAACCUGGGUGGACCACCAUCCAAGCCUGAGUACUACCCUGUGACCGAUAGCGCACCAGUACCGUGAGGGAAAGGUGAAAAGCACCCCGGGAGGGGAGUGAAACAGUACCUGAAACCGUGCGCCCACGAGCAGUCGGAGCAACUUUAUGUUGUGACGGCGUGCCUUUUGUAGAAUGAGCCAGCGAGUCGCUGGCGCGGGGCGAGGUUAACCGAAAGGGAGCCGGAGCGAAAGCGAGCCUUAACAGGGCGACUUGAGUCCCGCGCCGCGGACGCGAAGCCGGGUGAGCUAUCCGUGGGCAGGCUGAAGCGGGGGUAAGACCCCGUGGAGGGCCGAACGCACGUCGGUUGAAAACGGCGGCGAUGACCUGCGGAUAGGGGUGAAAGGCCAAUCAAACCCGGAGAUAUCUCGUUCUCCCCGAAAUAGCUUUAGGGCUAGCGUCGCGCGUUCACCGCCGGAGGUAGAGCACCGGAUGGACGAGGGGGCUUCGCCGCCUACCGAAUCCAACCGAACUCCGAAUGCCGGCGGCCCAGAGCGCGGCAGUCAGAGCAUGUGGGCUAAGCUGUGUGCUCGAGAGGGAAACAGCCCGGACCGCCCGCUAAGGUCCCCAAGUUCCAGCCGAGUGGCAAAGGAUGUGCGUCCGCCCAGACAACCAGGAUGUUGGCUUAGAAGCAGCCAUCCAUUCAAAGAGUGCGUAACAGCUCACUGGUCGAGUGGACAUGCGCCGACAAUACACGGGGCUAAGCUGGACACCGAAGCGGCGGGAUUUUAUCUAUAUAGAAUCGGUAGGGGAGCUUCCCAUGGGCGGCGAAGCCGCCGGGCGACCGGCGGUGGAGCGCAUGGGAGUGAG